CACUGUCACGCUUAAAUAUAUUCCCACUAUUUCCCAGUAUGAAUAAUCACUAGUUAAUCACCAGUCACGAAUAAUCACCAGUUAGUUAGGAUGAAAAGUUGGUUAUCUAGGCAGCUAAGGAAUCGAUUCCCCACCAGUAUCCGGCGUAUACUUUAUUUGUAUUGCGACGAUCCAACUGCCAGGUGGAUGGUCGCCGUUCAGAUGAAGCAAAUACCGAAGCAUUUCAUUGCAUUUUAACAUUUCAUCCCAUUACGCUGCGCAUCGAUGCACAACUGUGCGUACCCCAGGAAAAUCGGGCCACCGGAGAUAGCGUGGACGUGACCGCGUAUAUAUGCACGGUGAAAGGCUGAAGGCCUCUGCCUGCGGCUAGAAAGGCUAACGAAUCAAUCCCCCACAAUUAUCCGGCGUGUAUUUCAUCCGAAAGGAAACUACCCAAGUGCCAUGUGGCUGGUAUCCGUUCAGAUGAAGCAUAUUGCGGGUCAUUUAUCCUCGUAGAAGCCGUACGUCCGUCCCCUAAAGCCGAGGAUCGGAUCGAGUCGCACUGACUGCCUUCCAAGAUCGAUAGCUAGAGUAUAC